CAAGCAAGAUCGCUGGUACUUGGCCAGGCUUACAUUAGAAAGCGUGCAAGCAUUAUCGACUUCUUAAUGCUGAACAAGGAAGAGGUGAGCCUAAAGGCACGAGUGGACAUUCCAUAAGAGAGAAAAAAAUGUCCCACUGGCGCGACCACGGCCCGCUCCCGUGCAAAGUCUACGUGGGCAACCUGGGAUCAGGCGCGGCCAAGCAUGAGCUGGAGAGGGCCUUUGAGACGUACGGCCCGUUGAUCAACGUCUGGGUGGCACGCAACCCGCCGGGGUUUGCCUAUGUGGAGUUUCAGGACCCCCGCGAUGCCCAAGAUGCCGUGAGGGGGCUGGACGGCAGGAGAGUGUGCGGGUGUCGUGUCCGGGUCGAGAUGGCCAAGGGGCGGUAUGACGGCCGUUCCGGGGGGCGGUCUGGGGGCUACCGUGGGGCCCCUCCCCCAUCGCGAUAUCGAUACAGCGGCGGCAGCACCCGGUCUUCUCCUCUGACCUUAACAACCAACAACACCAACCAACAACAACACCACCACUGGGCAUGCCCUGUAUGCCUUACAGCCGGUGCUGUCACUGCCAACGCUGCGGCAACCAACACUUGGGCCUGUUUUUCUGACCGCGUUUACGGACAACCAAACCAUCCCACCCAUCGCCCAACCUGGGAGGGGGCCAGAUUUUGGAGCCAAUCUCACCCCUCCCCAAAUUGGUCCAUUAACACCGGAAUUGCAACACAGCGCUCUGUUGUAGUCUGCAAAAUCCUUGCUUCUAUGCAAAGCUGUGGUGGUGGUUAGUGUUUCUGUGUCUAAUACGGUUCUCCACCCCGAAGGGAUCGUUACAGCCGGUCUAGAAGCCGUAGCGUAGAAAGGAGACGUCGCCGCUCGAGUCGUCGUUCGCA
rnacentral:misc_RNA from 1 species